CUUGCGGCUUAAUUUGACUCAACGUGAGGAAACUUAUGAGGUCCUGACAUAGUAAGAAUUGACAGACUGAUAGCUCUUUCUAGAUUCUAUAGGUGGUGGUGCAUGAUUGUUCUUAGUUGGUGGAGCGAUUUGUCUACUUAAUUUCGUUAACGAAUGAGACCUCAAUCUGCUAACUAGCUAUGCGGAGGUAUCCCUCUGCGUGAUAAAUUUUUAAUUGUUUGACAUUUGGAAACAAAAAAUAUAUUAGAACUUGAUACAUUAUAAAGUGACGCCCUAAGAAGCUUGUGAG
rnacentral:ncRNA from 1 species